GUCAGGAUAGCUCAGUCGGUAGAGCAGAGG
rnacentral:tRNA from 1 species